rnacentral:rRNA from 1 species
GACGAACGCUGGCGGCGUGCUUAACACAUGCAAGUCGAACGGAAAGGCCCUGCUUUUGUGGGGUGCUCGAGUGGCGAACGGGUGAGUAACACGUGAGUAACCUGCCCUUGACUUUGGGAUAACGUCAGGAAACUGGGGCUAAUACCGGCUAGGAGCUCCUGCUGCAUGGUGGGGGAUGGAAAGUUUCGGCGGUUGGGGAUGGACUCGCGGCUUAUCAGCUUGUUGGUGGGGUAGUGGCUUACCAAGGCUUUGACGGGUAGCCGGCCUGGGAGGGUGACCGGCCACAUUGGGACUGAGAUACGGCCCAGACUCCUACGGGAGGCAGCAGUGGGGAAUAUUGCACAAUGGGCGGAAGCCUGAUGCAGCAACGCCGCGUGCGGGAUGACGGCCUUCGGGUUGUAAACCGCUUUCGCCUGUGACGAAGCGUGAGUGACGGUAAUGGGUAAAGAAGCACCGGCUAACUACGUG